GGUUCUAGGACCAAAGUAAUGAUUGAUAGGGAUAGUUGGGGGUGCUUGUAUUGAACGGCCAGAGGCGAAAUUCUUGGAUUCGUUCAAGACAAACUAAUGCGAAAGCAUUCACCAAGGAUGUCUUCCUUAAUCAAGAACGAAAGUUGGGGGAUCGAAGACGAUUAGAUACCGUCGUAGUCUCAACCAUAAACUAUGCCAACUGAGGAUUGGUGAGCAUCGAUUCGAUCUCAUCAGGACUCUACGAGAAAUCAAAGUGUUUGGGUUCUGGGGGGAGUCUGGUCGCAAGGCUGAAACUUAAAGGAAUUGACGGAAGGGCACACCAGGAGUGGAGCCUGCGGCUUAAUUUGACUCAACACUGGAAAACUUACCAGGUCCGGAGACGCGAAGGAUUGACAGAUUGCAGAUCUUUCUUGAUUGCGUCGGUGGUGGUGCAUGGUCGUUCUUAGUUGGUGGAGUGAUUUGUCUGGUUAAUUCCGUUAACGAACGAGACCUCAGCCUGCUAAAUAGUCAGAUGUACGCUUCGGUGUACAGUUGCUGACUUCUUAGAGGGACUGUCGGUUUCUAGCCGAAGGAAGCGUGAGGCAAUAACAGGUCUGUGAUGCCCUUAGAUGUUCUGGGCUGCACGCGCGCUACACUGUUGGAUUCAACGAGUAUCACCCUUGAUCGAAAGGUCUGGGUAAUCUUUGAAAAUACGACGUGA
rnacentral:rRNA from 1 species